rnacentral:rRNA from 1 species
AUUGAACGCUGGCGGCAGGCCUAACACAUGCCAGUCGAGCGGAUGAAGGGAGCUUGCUCCUGGAUUCAGCGGCGGACGGGUGAGUAAUGCCUAGGAAUCUGCCUGGUAGUGGGGGAUAACGUCCGGAAACGGGCGCUAAUACCGCAUACGUCCUGAGGGAGAAAGUGGGGGAUCUGCGGACCUCACGCUAUCAGAUGAGCCUAGGUCGGAUUAGCUAGUUGGUGGGGUAAAGGCCUACCAAGGCGACGAUCCGUAACUGGUCUGAGAGGAUGAUCAGUCACACUGGAACUGAGACACGGUCCAGACUCCUACGGGAGGCAGCAGUGGGGAAUAUUGGACAAUGGGCGAAAGCCUGAUCCAGCCAUGCCGCGUGUGUGAAGAAGGUCUUCGGAUUGUAAAGCACUUUAAGUUGGGAGGAAGGGCAGUAAGUUAAUACCUUGCUGUUUUGACGUUACCAACAGAAUAAGCACCGGCUAACUUCGUG